rnacentral:rRNA from 1 species
GAAUCUUGCACAAUGGGCGAAAGCCUGAUGCAGCAACGCCGCGUGCGGGAAGAAGGCCCUAGGGUUGUAAACCGCUUUCAGUAGGGAAGAAAAUGACGGUACCUACAGAAGAAGGUGCGGCCAACUACGUGCCAGCAGCCGCGGUGACACGUAGGCACCAAGCGUUAUCCGGAUGUAUUGGGCGUAAAGAGCUCGUAGGCGGUUUGGUAAGUCGGGUGUGAAAACUCUGGGCUCAACCCAGAGAGGCCACCCGAUACUGCUAUGACUAGAGUACGGUAGGGGAGCGGGGAAUUCAUGGUGUAGCGGUGAAAUGCGCAGAUAUCAUGAGGAACACCAGCGGCGAAGGCGCCGCUCUGGGCCGUAACUGACGCUGAGGAGCGAAAGCGUGGGUAGCAAACAGG